GAACCUGCCUCAAAGAGGGGGACAACAGUUGGAAACGACUGCUAAUACCGCAUAAGCCCACGACCCGGCAUCGGGUAGAGGGAAAAGGAGCAAUCCGCUUUGAGAUGGCCUCGCGUCCGAUUAGCUAGUUGGUGAGGUAACGGCCCACCAAGGCGACGAUCGGUAGCCGGACUGAGAGGUUGAACGGCCACAUUGGGACUGAGACACGGCCCAGACUCCUACGGGAGGCAGCAGUGGGGAAUAUUGCACAAUGGGGGAAACCCUGAUGCAGCGACGCCGCGUGGAGGAAGAAGGUCUUCGGAUUGUAAACUCCUGUUGUUGAGGAAGAUAAUGACGGUACUCAACAAGGAAGUGACGGCUAACUACGUGCCAGCAGCCGCGGUAAAACGUAGGUCACAAGCGUUGUCCGGAAUUACUGGGUGUAAAGGGAGCGCAGGCGGGAAGACAAGUUGGAAGUGAAAUCCAUGGGCUCAACCCAUGAACUGCUUUCAAAACUGUUUUUCUUGAGUAGUGCAGAGGUAGGCGGAAUUCCCGGUGUAGCGGUGGAAUGCGUAGAUAUCGGGAGGAACACCAGUGGCGAAGGCGGCCUACUGGGCACCAACUGACGCUGAGGCUCGAAAGUGUGGGUAGCAAACAGGAUUAGAUACCCUGGUAGUCCACACUGUAAACGAUGAUUACUAGGUGUUGGAGGAUUGACCCCUUCAGUGCCGCAGUUAACACAAUAAGUAAUCCACCUGGGGAGUA
rnacentral:rRNA from 1 species